rnacentral:lncRNA from 10 species
AUGUUAGGUGAUAACAGAACUUUCUCUUUCUUCUAGCAGGAGGAAGUUGCAAUUGAACUCAUCUUCCCAGAGCCCAGAGUGGUUUUCUCGCUCCCGUAAGAGGUAGCUGCUACUUAUCAAAGGUUCCAGCUCUCUAGAUGCUACAAACACGAAGUUAUUUCAAUAAUACAUAUCUAAACCAGACUGCAAGGCUAACAUCAAAAAAGGAUUGAAAUGCUGUUUUUCUUCCCUGGUACAAUGUUAAAGCUUUAAACUCUUGUCAAUGAUGUGAUGUUUCAUCUGCAAUGAUCUACACUAGAAAAAUAAAAAUGUAGUUACUGACAAAAAAGCAGGAACUACUGCUCUAAGGAAAAAAGGACAGCUACAUGAGGACCACACAACUCCUGGAAGAGGUUUCCCUGGCAACACAACUUUUCCAUUCAUCUGGUUGCAGUGUUUUCAUCCAGUAGCCUGUCACCUCACUCAAAAGCAGGGCAAUGGAGAGAAAGAAACUUACCAAGUUUUUUCUUUUAACUAGAGAGUAGCCUACUUAUUGGGCCCUGCAAUUAAUUUCAGGCAGAUUUAUAAAGGAAGCUGCUGGAAGGAAUUCAUUCCCUUUUUGCUGUUCUGCCUUCCACCUUCCACUGUGUGAGGACACUGCAAGAAAGCCCUCAUCAGACACCAACUGCCAGCACCUAGAUCUUGGAAUUCUCAGCCUCCAGAACUGUGAGAAACACGUUUCUGUUUUUCUAUAAAAUAAUAAUAAUAAAAAACUUCCAUGCAGGAAAAAAAAUCAAGUUCAAAGGUCCUGUGGUGAGGGCAUACCAGCUUUGUUUGAGAAGCAGUAAUCAUGCCUGUGUGACUGUAAUGAAAGAAUAAAAGAGAAAUGAGCACAGAAGAAUAUAAUGUAGUCCUUUUCAUUUUAAGCAAGAAAUUUGGCUUCAAUUCUAAAUGUGAUAAGAAAAAAACAGAAGGUUCCAAACUGAGAAGUGACAUAAUAUGAAAUGUUUUAACAGAAUCACCUUGUUACCAUAUUGCAAAUAAAAUGAAAGUGCAUCAAGGGCAGAAGUAGGAAGGCAAGUUAUGAGGUCAUUUUGAUAAUCCAGAGGAGCUGGGAUGAUGACUUACAGCAGUAUAGUAGCAAGGGUUGGGUGAGAACGUGGAAUCCUGGGUAUAUAUUAAAGUUUCAGCAAAAAGGAUUUAUAGAUGAAACAGAUAUGGGUUAUGAGAAAGAGUCAAGUUAAAGAUUAUAUCAAAAUUUUUUAUCUGAACAACUGGUAGUAUUGUGGUGAAUCCUUACCCCAUCAAUUUACGUGACCGAUAACUGAGUGGGAACAUUAAGGAAGGGAUGGUUUGAGUGAGAAUCAGGAUCUCAGUUUGGAAAUAUUAAGUUGAAUAUGCCUAUUUAAUAAUCAAAUGAAAAAUAGUAUUUUUGUAAUUUUCAGUAUUUAUUUGGCAAGAGAUUAAAUAAUCUAUAGCAUUGUUACUACUUUCUCUUUUUCAUAAAAGUUAUUUUGGUAUAAAAUCAACCUGACUGGGAACUAUCCAAAUAUAUAAGCCUUUAGCUUUGACCUAUUACUUAUAUUUUUUUGCCAUUAAUAAUAUGAACAUCCACUAAACAAGAACUUGAGACUAUAACUCUUCUCUAUUAAAUCUUCAUAUUAAAUUAGCCAUUUAAAUAGGAUUAUUAUUUUCAUUUAUUGCUGAAUACUUUCCAUUACAUUCAAACUUAUUGAGACAUCCUUAAAUUUUGUAAUUUAUUUAACGGAUUAAUUCCUUAGCUUCUAAACUGGUUUUCUGUACGGCAACCCUAUUUUCUUCUUAAUAACUCAUCAUCUACAUCCCCCAAUGUCUUAUUUUUCCAAAACAAAAGUGCACUAAUGCCCUUCUAGGGCAAAAAUUUCUUUAAUGGCUUUCUAUUGUUAUAGAUAAAGUUCAAACUUAUUAUGACGGCCUAUAAUUUUGGGGAAAAAACUCACCUAAAAACAGUUUUUAAAAGAUUAGAAUUCAAAUGCUUGAAAUUUCAGUUAUUUUAUGAGCUUUCUAUUCAAACAUUUCAGGGAGCUAAGACAUUACAUACUACACUACUACUACUACUACAAAUAAUAAUAAUAACAACAAUUAUAGUUACUCAUCUCAGUUUUGGCAGAGGAUACCAUUUAUAUAAAGAAUGUAAUUUGAUUGUAGCUAUUAAAAUAGUUACUAGACAAGAACUAGGAUGAUGGUAACAUUGACUUUUUAUCUGAAUCCUGGCUAUAUGUUUUCUGUUUGAAAAAAAAGUCAUUAAGUAUAAAAUUAUAAUUUUUAUAAUUUUGGAAUACAUAUUAUAAUAACACAUUUUUUUUAAACUGAGAAUUUAAGAUUUAAAAAGUACAGUAGGGGAAAGAAAAGGAAAAUAUAUUUUCUAUGUGCUUGUUUUAAUAAAUAAUGCCACCGAGGAUGUAAGUUUUCAAUGUCUAAUUAUUAAAUCAGCAUUACUUUCAUUAUUUUAACAACCUUCAUGGGGUUCUUAUAUUGAGACUCAAAUUAAAUAUGUAAUAUUAAUCCUAAUAUAGCUAUUUUUUCCUAACAAGAGCAUAAAACUUCCAAAAUUUCAUUCUGCAUAUUUAUAACUGAAUUUAUGACUGACAUAUUUCUUUUUCAAAUCAUGUCCAUCAUUAUAUGAACGGGUACUGAAUUUAUCCAUAUUUACUUACGUCUUUCUUCAGCCCCUCUGUCAACCCACUUAUCUUUUUGAUAGCUCAGUGAGCUGGCACUAGUUUUGUACCUCAGGAUGUUUACUCUGGCUAAUUUUGCCACUGAUCUUCUAAUGUCUGGUGCUUGGCAAUAAAGUCCCAGUUGGAGUUUUCAACCAACAGCAGUUUGCAUUCAGUUACUUAAUCUCUGUUUUGCAAUCUUAGUACCUUCCUUUCUGAUUGAAUGAAGACAGUUGCUCCUAGGGAUACCUGAACCUGAAAUGAACUGAAAAUAUUUUAUAGCUUUUCAAUUUGCCAGGCAGUAGAAGAAAAAUUCAUACCAAUCCCAUUGCUACAAACAGCUGUUACUAUAAGGUGAUAUUGCUAUGGAAUCCUAAAAUAGAACAAGGCAAAUACCAUCCCUGUGAGGGUUCUACUAUAUUUUGUGGAUCUCCAGCUGGAAACUUAAUUGUAAUAUAAACUGAGCAUACAGAAACAGCUUUCCUGCUUCUAUUCAGCAUACUUUCACUGAAUUGGAUAAUUUAAUCAAUAAGUUACAACACUCUUUAGUGUGAAGCUGCAUAAAAUUCUAGAAGGAGAGAAAAUUUGAUCUUUGAUUUCUAUUAUCUUUAUCUUCCUGCAUUAUAUUCUUCCAUGACUUUAGCUAAUACCUCUCCCCAUCACAAUAAAGUCUUUAAACACUUAGAAUCUAUUUUCUGUUUCUUGUGUCCAUAUCCUAUAACCAAAGACCACCAGGAACACCCCUGAGUUUAUUCUUGUUUACAGCAAUAAAUACUUCACACAAUGGGGAAAUGUGAAGUUAUCUCAGUAAGAGAGUAUUAAAAGAACCUAUUGUAUCAUUUGGGAUUUGGUUAUUUGGGGAAGAAAUUAAGGAAGCAAGACUGCCCUGGAUUGUCUGUUACCAGGAAGUGGGAGCAAUUUUAUGAUUAGGUAUGUCACCAAAUCUUAUCUAUAUGGAUGACAUACUAGAGUGAGGCUAAUGUAAUUGAGGAUAAGGUAACUGCUAAAGAAACAACAGUCACUUGUAUCUGGUAUGUUGUGAUUUGGACAACGUUCCUGUUUUGUUUAUGCUCAGAUAAAAUUAAGGAUUGUUGUUGUUUUUGUCAUUGUCCAUCA